rnacentral:rRNA from 1 species
AACGAACGCUGGCGGCAUGCCUAACACAUGCAAGUCGAACGAGACCUUCGGGUCUAGUGGCGCACGGGUGCGUAACGCGUGGGAACCUGCCCUUAGGUUCGGAAUACCUCCCCGAAAGGGGUGCUAAUACCGGAUAAUGUCUUCGGACCAAAGAUUUAUCGCCUUUGGAUGGGCCCGCGUUGGAUUAGCUCGUUGGGUGGGUAAAAGCCUACCAAGGCCACGAUCCACAACUGGGCGGAGAGGAUGAUCCGCCACACCGGGACUGGGAACCGGCCCCGAAUCCUACGGGAUGGAGGAAAGGGGGACAGAGGAACACCGGGGGAAUGCUGAACCCGCCAGGCCCGUGUAGCUGUGGAAGCCGUAAGGUUGGAAAGCUUCUUUAACCGGGAACGUAAUGACAGUACCGGGAGAAAAAGCCCCGGCUAACUCCGUG